rnacentral:rRNA from 1 species
GAUGAACGCUAGCGGAAGGCUUAAUACAUGCAAGUCGAGCGGUAGGUGGCUUCGGCCAUUGAGAGCGGCGCACGGGUGAGUAACGCGUACAUGACCCGCCUGUCAGAAGGGGAUAGCCCUGGGAAACUGGGAUUAAUACCCUAUGGUAUUGAUAUUAUGAAUGAUAUCAAUUAAAGUUGAGGCGCUGACAGAUGGAUGUGCGUCUGAUUAGCUAGUUGGUAGGGUAACGGCCUACCAAGGCGACGAUCAGUAGGGGGCGUGAGAGCGUGGUCCCCCACACGGGUACUGAGACACGGACCCGACUCCUACGGGAGGCAGCAGUAAGGAAUAUUGGUCAAUGCCCGCAAGGGUGAACCAGCCAUUCCGCGUGGAGGAUGAAGGCCCUAUGGGUUGUAAACUUCUUUUAGAUGGGAAGAAAAUGCUAGAUGUAUCUGGUACUGACGGUACCAUCAGAAUAAGCACCGGCUAACUCCGUGCCAGCAGCCGCGGUAAU